GAUGAACGCUAGCGGCAGGCUUAAUACAUGCAAGUCGAACGGGAUUGAGAAGCUUGCUUUUCAUGAGAGUGGCGCACGGGUGCGUAACACGUAUGCGACCUACCUUGUCCAGGGGGAUAGCCCGUUGAAAGACGGAUUAAGACCGCAUAACAUUGAGCUGUGGCAUCACAAAUCAAUCAAAUAUUUAUAGGGACAAGAUGGGCAGGCGCCUGAUUAGGUAGUUGGCGGGGUAAUGGCCCACCAAGCCGACGAUCAGUAGGGGAUCUGAGAGGAUGAGCCCCCACACUGGUACUGAGACACGGACCAGACUCCUACGGGAGGCAGCAGUAAGGAAUAUUGGUCAAUGGGCGAAAGCCUGAACCAGCCAUGCCGCGUGCAGGAAGACGGCCCUACGGGUUGUAAACUGCUUUUAUACGGGAAUAACCCCGGUUUCGUGAAACCGGCUGAAUGUACCGUAAGAAUAAGGAUCGGCUAACUCCGUGCCAGCAGCCGCCGUAA
rnacentral:rRNA from 1 species